UGACCGUGGUGCGAUAAGACCUCAUCUUUGAGCUGUAAUUAUUUGUUUGCAAAUCAUAAUCUCACUCACAGAGCUAGGUAAAUAUUCAACUCUGUGAUCUUCCCAUUUCUCAUCGCAGAAUUCCCGGGUGGUCUGCUGCCAACACGUGGCGAUUGUAUUAUUUUAUUUCGUCACUUGUCAUUGUCAUUCGAUUUGAAUGCAACUUUCUCCUCUUUAAUCUUAUCGAUCACUCAUCGACGUUUCCGAUUCUAUUUCGUGUUCCUUUUAUUGAGUUUUGUGAUUUUUAAAACUUAUCAGUCCUACCCUAUCUUUGCUUAAUAGCCUGAACCAGGAAUUAUCAUGUGUGUCAGAAUUUUCUAUUUAAAAUUUCGAAAUCCAACCCUCCGAAAUUCCAAUCGUAAGUUAUUUUUCGACUCCAUACUAAACUUGAGCUGAAUGUAUAAACUCUUAGAAAUCGGUGUUGGUCACCCCUUUUGCUUCUUACGACGAUUUCUGAAAAUCGGUAUGGGUCACCCCAACGGGUCCCGUCAUAUGGAGCUGAGAUAUUUCAAGUCAGCAUAACUUGUUAUUAUGGGAGAUCAAUCGGGGUCAAAAUGGUCACAUUCAAGCAGAAGCUAAUCCAUUCCACAUUUCCACACACUUACCCCCCACUCUUGACAAGCGUCCCCUGCAAUGUCACCAUCGUCUGUUUCUUGUGGUGAAGCAGAUCUCCAGCCUCGUGUUCGAACCGGACGUCGAUCAGGAAGGUGUGAGGUUGACGAGGGCGCUUCUAAUCUGACCCCCUCGCUUCCACGUCUUCC